rnacentral:misc_RNA from 1 species
GAAUCCAUCACCUCCCUUCGGGGUUGCGUGGACUUGGGCGCUGCCGGCCGCUUGCGGUGGGCUCGUCUCAAAAUGCAUUAGCCUGCAGAGUGUUUGCUGGGCCUUUGGCGUGAUAGUACAUUUCGCCGCUGUGCUCUGGUGACGUCUGGCUCUGGGCUCACAAUGACGAGCGUCCCGCUCGAUUUAUUUUUACG